UACGCAGGCGGUUUGUUAAGCGAGAUGUGAAAGCCCCGGGCUCAACCUGGGAACUGCAUUUCGAACUGGCAAACUAGAGUGUGAUAGAGGGUGGUAGAAUUUCAGGUGUAGCGGUGAAAUGCGUAUAGAUCUGAAGGAAUACCGAUGGCGAAGGCAGCCACCUGGGUCAACACUGACGCUCAUGUACGAAAGCGUGGGGAGCAAACGGGAUUAGAUACCCCGGUAGUCCACGCCGUAAACGAUGUCUACUAUAAGCUCGGAACCUCGGUUCUGUUUUUCAAAGCUAACGCAUUAAGUAGACCGCCUGGGGAGUACGGCCGCAAGGUUAAAACUCAAAUGAAUUGACGGGGGCCCGCACAAGCGGUGGAGCAUGUGGUUUAAUUCGAUGCAACGCGAAGAACCUUACCUACACUUGACAUACAGAGAACUUUCUAGAGAUAGAUUGGUGCCUUCGGGAACUCUGAUACAGGUGCUGCAUGGCUGUCGUCAGCUCGUGUUGUGAGAUGUUGGGUUAAAGUCCCCGCAACGAGCGCAACCCCUAUCCCUUAGUUUGCUAGCAGGGUAAUGCUGA
rnacentral:rRNA from 1 species